rnacentral:rRNA from 1 species
UGGCGAACGGGUGAGUAACGCGUGAGGAACCUGCCUCAAAGAGGGGGACAACAGUUGGAAACGACUGCUAAUACCGCAUAAGCCCACGGGUCGGCAUCGACCUGAGGGAAAAGGAGCAAUCCGCUUUGAGAUGGCCUCGCGUCCGAUUAGCUAGUUGGUGAGGUAAUGGCCCACCAAGGCGACGAUCGGUAGCCGGACUGAGAGGUUGAACGGCCACAUUGGGACUGAGACACGGCCCAA